rnacentral:rRNA from 1 species
GGUCAAGUAAGAAAGGGCGUACGGGGGAUGCCCGGG